rnacentral:rRNA from 1 species
UACGGAGGGUGCAAGCGUUAUCCGGAAUCACUGGGUUUAAAGGGUGCGUAGGCGGCUUGAUAAGUCAGGGGUGAAAGCUUCCCGCUCAACGGGAGAACUGCCCUUGAUACUGUCAGGCUCGAAUUGGGUUGAGGCAGGCGGAAUGUGGCAUGUAGCGGUGAAAUGCUUAGAUAUGCCAUAGAACACCGAUUGCGAAGGCAGCCUGCCAAGCCUUGAUUGACGCUGAGGCACGAAAGCGUGGGGAGCGAACAGU